rnacentral:rRNA from 1 species
CUGCUGCCUUCCGUAGGAUCUGGUCCGUGUCUCAGUACCAGUGUGGGGGACCUUCCUCUCAGAACCCCUACGCAUCGUCGGUUAGGUGGGCCGUUACCCCGCCUACUGCCUAAUGCGCCGCAUGCCCAUCCCUGUCCGGCCGAAGCCUUUCCUGCCUCCGGGAUGCCCCGGUGGCAUGUACGCGGGUUUAGCCCGCCCUUCGGCGGGUUGUCCCCCUGACAGGGGCAGGUUGCAUACGUGUUACUCACCCGUGCGCCGGUCGCCGGCGGAGAAAG